rnacentral:lncRNA from 1 species
GGGUGUCUAUAACUCCGUAUCAUCGAAUAAAAUGUGUAAGAAUAAUCUAUUCGAGAAAAGAGUGGUAUAUCAAAAUAUACACCUCCGUAUCGAUAUAUACGCUUUUAUAUCAAAAUUUUUUAAUAAUAUUUUAUUUUUUUUAUUAUAAGAUGCUGGGACAUCCGGCUCUCAUUCACUAAUAUAUAGGAGUGAAAAGAAGAUGAGGA